UUUGAAGCUUUGUUGAUGAUUUCCACCUAUUAAUUCUGGAUCUUGGCAAGUUGGCCCUCCGCUGUUGUAGAUCUUGAUAUCUUGUGUUCAUGUGGUGUUGUAUCUUGUUUGUUGGGUUCUUCUAGUGGUUCUAUGUGUUUGUAUGCUGUUGUUGUCUUGAGAUAUGUGUUAAUACAUGUUGUGCUCUUUGACCUAUGGUACU